rnacentral:rRNA from 1 species
GACGACGCUGGCGGCGUGCUUAACACAUGCAAGUCGAACGGUGACGAGGAGCUUGCUCCUCUGAUCAGUGGCGAACGGGUGAGUAACACGUGAGCAACCUGCCCCGGACUCUGGGAUAACAGUUGGAAACAGCUGCUAAUACCGGAUACGAGACGGAGAGGCAUCUCUACCGUCUGGAAAGUUUUUCGGUCUGGGAUGGACUCGCGGCCUAUCAGCUAGUUGGUGAGGUAAUGGCUCACCAAGGCGACGACGGGUAGCCGGCCUGAGAGGGCGACCGGCCACACUGGGACUGAGACACGGCCCAGACUCCUACGGGAGGCAGCAGUGGGGAAUAUUGCACAAUGGGCGAAAGCCUGAUGCAGCGACGCCGCGUGAGGGAUGACGGCCUUCGGGUUGUAAACCUCUUUCAGCAGGGAAGAAGCGAAAGUGACGGUACCUGCAGAAGAAGCACCGGCUAACUACGUG